rnacentral:rRNA from 1 species
UCGGGAAUUUUGGGCAAUGGGCGAAAGCCUGACCCAGCAACGCCGCGUGAAGGAUGAAGUAUUUCGGUAUGUAAACUUCGAAAGAAUAGGAAGAAUAAAUGACGGUACUAUUUAUAAGGUCCGGCUAACUACGUGCCAGCAGCCGCGGUAAUACGUAGGGACCAAGCGUUGUUCGGAUUUACUGGGCGUAAAGGGCGCGUAGGCGGCAAUUCAAGUCAUCUGUGAAAUCUCCGGGCUUAACUCGGAACGGUCAGAUGAUACUGCUUUGCUAGAGUGCAGAAGGGGCAAUCGGAAUUCUUGGUGUAGCGGUGAAAUGCGUAGAUAUCAAGAGGAACACCUGAGGCGAAGGCGGGUUGCUGGGCUGAUACUGACGCUGAAGCGCGAAAGCUAGGGUAGCAAACGGGAUUAGAUACCCCAGUAGUCCCUGAGCGGGCUGGCAAGGCGCAU